CAGAGACUGCAAGCGUUAUUCGGAUUCACUGGGCGUAAAGGGUGCGCAGGCGGCCAAGUGUGUUAGGCGUGAAAGCCCGGGGCUUAACCCCGGAAUUGCACCUAAAACUACAUGGCUAGAGCAUUGGAGAGGGUAGCGGAAUUCACGGUGUAGCAGUGAAAUGCGUAGAUAUCGUGAGGAACACCAGAGGCGAAGGCGGCUACCUGGACAAUUGCUGACGCUCAGGCACGAAAGCGUGGGGAGCAAAAGGGAUUAGAUACCCCUGUAGUCCACGCCCUAAACGGUGCACACUAGGUCUUGGCGGAUUCGACCCCACCAGGGCCCAAGCUAACGCGUUAAGUGUGCCGCCUGAGGACUACGGUCGCAAGACUA
rnacentral:rRNA from 1 species